GUUUGGCUGUAAAAUAUAACGGUCCUAAGGUAGCAAAUUUCCUUGUCGUCCUAAUAACGACCUGCAUGAAACAUAGAACGAUUCGAUAGCUGUCUUGCACACACAUCAUGGUAAAAUAUUCAUCAGUACAAAGAAUAUGCUGGUGAGCUAAGACCACACUAAAGGACAAAAAGACCCUCUGAAGCUUUAUAGGGAUAAAAUCUAGUACACAUCCAGGCGUUUAUAAGCUGAUGGCCCCAAGAAGCGAGACGAUGACGAUAAAGAGCCAGAAGAUGCAGCGUGGUAAACACAAGACUGUUUAAUUGGGGCGAUAAGCUUAUCUAAUCCACCUAAGGUGAACAAAGCCAUCCAAUGAGCCCAACUAAUAAGUGCAAAGAUACAUGUUUCGCUUAAUGGCCCAAGAAGUCCUUCCCAGUAUUUAAAUGCUAUCUUAAUGAGCUUAAAAUUAAUCUACCAACACCAAGCUACUCUACGGAUAACAGGCUUAAUUUCGGCAAUACGAAAGCUCACAUUAUCAAGAAAAAUGCACCUCGAUGUCGGCUUAUCAUCACCAAAAUCUGUAGCUAGCUUAUUGGUGGGAGUGCUCAUCCCGUAAAUCGGUACGUGAGCUGGGUCAAAUAACAAAGGGAA
rnacentral:rRNA from 1 species